GGUGAUGUAGCUCAGCCGGUUAGAGCGCAGGAUUCAUAAUCCUGAGGUCGAGGGUUCGAUUCCCUCCAUCACCACCA
rnacentral:tRNA from 1 species